rnacentral:tRNA from 1 species
GUAGUAGAAAGAAAAUCCGUUGGCUUUAUUGACCGUGAGGGUUCAAGUCCCUCUACCCCC